ACAUGAACAAGUUCUAGCUGAACUGGUUCACAUCACAGUUCCUAUCACACAGCUCCAAGUAAUCAUUAUCAACAAGAUGAAUGUACAUGUAUUUGUAUAUGGUAUCUGCCUGGUGUUGACUUUGAUCCUGCAUGAAUGUGUGGAAGCCAGAUCAUGCACAAAACUUGAAAACAAGAUAUUUAACAACCUACUGGAUAUGAUGGUUGCCAUCAAAUCUAAAUGUCUUAUAUCAGGAGGAAUUAUUAACCAAGGAGGACCCGCUUUUACAUCAACACUGAGCCACCAUUUUAGUCUUACUAAAGAUGCUGCAAUUAAAUUUAACUCAGUCCUUUUGAACCGUGGUGGAGGCUA